UACGUAGGUGGCAAGCGUUGUUCGGAAUUACUGGGCGUAAAGCGCGUGUAGGCGGCUCUUCAAGUCAGACGUGAAAGCCCCGGGCUUAACUCGGAAACUGCAUCGGAUACUAUUCGGCUAGAGGGUUGGAGGGGGGACUGGAAUACUUGGUGUAGCAGUGAAAUGCGUAGAUAUCAAGUGGAACACCAGUGGCGAAGGCGAGUCCCUGGACAACUCCUGACACUGAGGCACGAAAGCUAGGGGAGCAAACAGG
rnacentral:rRNA from 1 species